CAGCAGUGACGCGUGUGUGUGUUUUAGCGCGCGAGAUCACCGGAGAGUCCAGCAUCAGAGCCAGAGCCAGAGCCAGAGACAGUCACGGUGCCGGACGAACCGCAGACCGGAGCAGAGCAGAGCGGAGCGGAGCGGGUUUAUCAGGUUCUCCUCAUCUGGACACUGAAGCACGGUGAAGCACGGUUCUCCGUGUUGUGUGUGUCUGUGAGCCGCUGCUGUCCUGAUCACACUUGAGGGCGGGGC